rnacentral:rRNA from 1 species
UACAGAGGGUGCGAGCGUUAAUCGGAAUUACUGGGCGUAAAGCGCGCGUAGGUGGUUUUUGUAAGUUGGGUGUGAAAGCCCCGGGCUCAACCUGGGAACUGCAUCCAAGACUGUGAGACUAGAGUAUGGAAGAGGGUCGCAGAAUUCCCGGUGUAGAGGUGAAAUUCGUAGAUAUCGGGAGGAAUACCAGUGGCGAAGGCGGCGACCUGGGCCAAUACUGACGCUGAGGUGCGAAAGCGUGGGGAGCAAACAGG